UACGGGGGGGGCAAGCGUUGUUCGGAAUUACUGGGCGUAAAGGGCUCGUAGGCGGCCAACUAAGUCAGACGUGAAAUCCCUCGGCUUAACCGGGGAACUGCGUCUGAUACUGGAUGGCUUGAGUUUGGGAGAGGGAUGCGGAAUUCCAGGUGUAGCGGUGAAAUGCGUAGAUAUCUGGAGGAACAGCGGUGGCGAAGGCGGCAUCCUGGACCAACACUGACGCUGAGUGAGCGAAAGCCAGGGGAGCAAACGGG
rnacentral:rRNA from 1 species